ACCCAAACUUACAGGUCUAACAAAGAAUUUCCACUGAGCAGCCUGUAUUGUCAAGACAUCUCAUGGAGAGAUACACCUAGACUAGUGGACAGGAGGGAGACACCCAACUAAAGAAAGUGGCUAAUGUAGUGAAAUGGAAAACAUUUUAGGGCAGGGCAGUGGGAAGGAGGAUUCCAUUCCCACUGGUCCAGUGUACAAAGGCACUUACGCUUUUAGAGUUUCUUUCAAAUACUGGAGAUGCUUACAAACUUCUUCUCUAAAUCAUGAUUUUAAAUGCUUGCAAUACAUAGGAUUUCUGAGAAAAUUAAUUUUAUUGAGAAGCCAUUGGCAAGACCCUUAAAAAAUGCAAGUUUGCAAUGGCGUGUAUUACUAUUGCCCUGGAAAAUAGCAUGCAUUUGUACUUCCCCCAUUUUCAGAUAUCAAAGCAUACUUGUGAGAUUCCAGACAUUUUCAUAAUAUUCUAAGGAGGCACAACAAUUUCUGAGGCUUCUGUUGUCAACAAUCACAAUCCUGCCUGGCUUAUUGUCUGCUUUCAUAACUGGAUGUAAAUCUUACCUAGAGGUGAGCAGGUCAGAUCGAGGUUAGUGGCAAUAAAGAAGCAUUUUUUUCCACGGUUCAAUUUCACAGCCCCUGAGGUCUCUCAUGGGACUUCUUGCUAACGAAGUCUAGUCUUAGUUUCUUUACUUCUCCCCAGGCUCUACUGGCGAUGUUGGAGAGAAGCUCAGCCCAGCUUAGCCUCUUGAGGACUCUUCUUUCUGUGAAGCCUACCUACGCAGGCGCUGCUCCAGCCUGCGGUCCAUUUUUCAAGGACAGUCGGUGUCCACAGGGACAUUUGCCAUGGUCUGGUGGUGCUGGGGACGAAAUGGAAAACCCACCCUCUUCAGAGGAGAUGGAACUUCAGGAUGGAACUGGGCCGUGUGUUCCAAAUGGCUGCCAUGAGGAUCUCCAAACGUCUCAUGCAGCUUGCUUCUUGUGUUGAUCUGCCAGCACAUCCCUAAGACUUUAAAGCUGAUGCUGGGAUAAUGGCGGUCCAUAUGACACCUGGGUUAUGGCGAGGAGUAGACUGAUAGCUGACUAUACUAUUUCUAGGUGGGUCUGUGGCAGUGUCUCAGGAAGAGAGCAACCUUUGUGCCUAUUGGCUGAGCAUGGAUCACCCUCCCCUUGUGGGUGAGUGCCAGCCAAUCUUAUCGAACAAAUCGAUAAAGUGGACAGAGGGCAAAUUUCUGUGUGUUUGGGAUCUCCAUCUUCUUCUGCUCUUGGAUAUUGACUCUACUCUUCCUUGGACUGCAGGCUCCGAACAAACACGAUCCUACUGCUUCUUACUGGCGUGGGGGACUUCCAGUUUGAACCAGAACGACAUCAUUAGCUUUCGUGUUCUCCAAACUGUACACAAGAGAUUGUGGACCUUCUCAGCCUCUGUCAUCAUCUGAGUCAGUGUUUCAUGUUCUAGGUUUAAAAAGGUGUGCCGCCAUAGCCAGCAUGAAGCAUGACUUUUCUAGUAUUGUUGUUUGCUGUUGUGGAGGAGAGAGGUCCUGUAUUCAAAAGCAGGUAUACACCAGUAUGAAAGACAAGGAUCAUAAAAGCAAGCAGCAGACAAGAACCAAGGGAGCAUGCCUCUCUUCUCUUCUUGUUACUCAAGACACAGCGAGUCUUCCUGUAUCUCCAGGGACACAGAUGACAGCACCAGGCAUUUGUCACUGGGCCACAAAGGCGGUGCAUCUGCAAAAAAGGCCACCCACUUGGAGAAGCCUGCUUAAUUUACCAGCCAACAUGCAAAGAUAAGGAAAGGGCCAGACUGAACUCAGUAGCAAACUCGUGCUCAGAGAAGUAAGGGCAGGUGACUCCAGAGGCACAGACAGUUACCAGAGGCUGCUAGUUGCAACUUCCUAAAGUGUACAAUUUGCUUCUUGUUUUCUUUCUGGCUUGGGGCUAGCCUCGUUCAGGGGAAUUAUAACACUCCUUUGCUGAAGGGAGAAGAAAAGCCUUGGCUUAGUUUUUGGAAGCAUAAUAAUUUUAUUAACGUGACUGGUUUUGAAUCUUACAGCCCCCGACUGCAAGUGGGGUUCUUCGGGUUUCGCCUAAUUUUGCGCCCAUUUCAUGAAGUAUAUUUUAUGAUGCAUAUAAACAAGCAGUUUCUUUCUUACUGAAAGGUGAAUAACUGGUGUUUGUGGCUAUGUGGAUUCCUUACAUGUGAAGUAUUUUUAAAGACUUUGGGUCUAAAGAUAUUUCAGGUUUGAAAUGCUAAUGCAAAGUUGGCAUUUGGGUGAGUAUGAUAGUUAAAAAGAAUUGCACAUAUUAAUGUAGUAAUUCCUAAUUAGCAAAAUGACUUUCAAAUAAGCCAUUGAGGUAGGUGUCUAAGGAGCAAUAUCUCUAAUUGCCCUAAGAUAAACUACAAACAGAACCCACAGCAGGGUAACAGAUAGCAAUAAAAUUUGUCCAUAAAACAGAUAUUGCCUCACCUCUUUGGGCUCUGCUCUCUUGUCAGAGUGCUGCAAGCAGAGUUUUAAAGGAGAAUUAUUUAAAAGACACCGAGGCAAGCUGGAGCACAUCUUCGCUUAUGUAAAAUGUGGUGGAAUAUUUUAUUAAUCCUUCAAAGCUAAUCAUAAAGGAACGGAAAAUAUUUAGGCAAAAGUUGCCUCCUUUGAAGACUUACUUACGUGUCGACAAGAAGCCGGCCAGGAUUAUCAGCCUUCGGAUCAAACACAUCUUGUGCUUGUUUUUCAUGUGAACACUGUGUACCAGCUAACUGUGAUUACCAUCUAAUUAGGCCAGACUUUGCUGGAAGUUAGUAAACACUUUCAUCACAGAUGUA